rnacentral:misc_RNA from 1 species
CAGAGAACAUCGCCCUCACGGGUGACUCUCCAACCCUAUGUUAUUAAAACCUUUGUUGCUUUGGCGAGCCGCUUCGGCCACCGGCCUCUGCUGGUGUGCGCUCGCCAGAGGACCCCAAACUCUGAAUGUUAAUAUCGUCCGAGUACUAUAUAAUAGUUAA